GGGGGGGGCAGGAAUCUUGGGUGAGUUCCCACACUUUUUUCCCCAGGACUUGACCCCUGCUAGUAACCCUAUUGUAAACAUAGCAGUUUCUCUGAAACUGCUAUGUUUACAGCUGCAGGGUUAACCCUAGAUGGACCUGGCACCCAGACCACUUCAUUGAGCUGAAGUGGUCUGGGUGCCUAUAGUGGUCCUUUAAGGUCUGUAGGUCUGCUAGAAAUGAGGCUCUUUAUGAGCACCCUUGCAUUUGAGAUGGAAUCAAGCAGGGCUGAAUGUGAAUCCAUGAAAAGGCCCUUUUUGAUGUUUUGCUGAAGCUGGUACUUCGUUCUAACUCUAACACAUUAGGGAUGAGCAAAAUGGGAAAUGUAGUUUGGCACAAGCCAGAAGACACAUUUUUUCCAAGCCCUUGUUUCAACUGAAUAAUACAUUUGUCUAUGUAAAGAACAGGAAAUUGUGAUUAAAUGACAACAAUACUGAAAAAGUUAUAAAAAUACAUAACUUGGCCAAAUUAAACAUUUUCUCCAACUCUGUUCCUUUGGCUCAGAUUUUCCAAGGCAGAUAUCACCAACACCCACUUGUUUAGUGAGUAGUUCCGUGGAUUCCUGAAAACAGCAGCAUCUUCCAAGACGGACCGGUUGGUCUGUCCAUUGCUUCCUUUCAGCCAUCCUCUGUACCAGAGCUCCUGAUAUCAC